rnacentral:tRNA from 2 species
AGGGAGUUAGUCCAAAACAAGACCUCUGAUUUCGGCUCAGAAAAUUAUGGUUUAAACCCAUGGCCCCCUU